rnacentral:misc_RNA from 1 species
UACGAAGGGGGCUAGCGUUGUUCGGAAUCACUGGGCGUAAAGCGCACGUAGGCGGAUUGUUAAGUCGGGGGUGAAAUCCUGAGGCUCAACCUCAGAACUGCCUUCGAUACUGGCGAUCUCGAGUCCGGGAGAGGUGAGUGGAACUCCUAGUGUAGAGGUGAAAUUCGUAGAUAUUAGGAAGAACACCAGUGGCGAAGGCGGCUCACUGGCCCGGUACUGACGCUGAUGUGCGAAAGCGUGGGGAGCAAACAGG